UUGGAUAACGCUAGUGGCGCGGCGUUGUUGCAGAUUUAGGCAACUCGUGGGCGUUUCGCGUGCGAUCAGCUGUACGGUUUACGUUAUUCGACCAGUUGAAUGCUAAAAAGUGCCCUCAAAAAAGGAAAAAAAAUGGGUGGUACGAGGUACUGUUGUGUUGUGGGGUGUAAAAAUUGCCAAUCUCGGAAUCGUGAAUUAACUUUUUAUUCGUUUCCGAAACGGAGUUGGGAAGUUGAAAAAAGAAAUAAGUGGAUAAUAGCUGUCAGAAGAAUUACAUUAGACAACAAGAUAUGGCAACCGAGUAAGAACACUCGAAUCUGCAGUGCUCAUUUUGUUGGAGGCAAGCAGUCCAACGUCGAAAACAGCCCAGCGUAUGUGCCGACGAUUUUCCCCUCAGUGUACAAAAAAAAAGAGAAAACACAAUUGGACUUAGCUAGACACGAGCGGCUUCUGAAAAGAAAAAAUAAAAUGAGCACAUCAACAGCUUCAAUACCGCAAGAAAAUGAAAAUAUCUCGAGUGACAUUGAAAUGGGAUUAAAUGAAACACCGGAGGGAGCUGGCAGUACGAGCAUAGCUUGUCAAACUGAUGCGUGUGACAACGAAGGAGAGAGUGCAGAAGGGAAUACUUUCUGGAGUUGGAAUAACGACAAAAAUGAAGCUUCCACGCAGACGAAUAUUUACAAUGGGUAGCCGAAUAAAAACGAGCGAAUCAUAACUAAAGAGCUGAAAACCGUUGCCAACAAGCCAACAAGGUCCUGACGAUAUUUUUCAUUACGGUUUCCCCGGAUUCUCUGAUAUUAGAUUGACCAAAACUAUGUUGCAGUUAGUCGGGGUUUCACUAAUUUUCUUCAAUUUAUUGCUCAAUUUGAUUAGCGUCAAAAAAGAUAGUCAAUCAGCUUACUACCGGGAAAAUAAAUCCGGAUUAAAUAAGGAAAAUAGAUUAUUACUUUUAUUUCAUUGUUUUAGUAUCAUAUAUUCUAUCCAUAUGUAUUAUAUAAUAUAUUCUAGAUGCAAAACGAUAAAAUUAUAAAUAAGUUAAUAAAUGAAUUAUUAUCGGUUCCACAUUUCCAAACAAUAC